AUUAAUCCAAUACAAAAGUUGUAAUUAAGUAACUCGCUAAAGAGUUAGUGAAUUAUAGAAAGAUUAAUUAGCAAUUGAAUUGCUAAUUGGCUCAAUUUGAUUGAGCAAUAGGACUUCCAUCAAGUCUAAUUAAAUUAGAUUUAAUUUGACUUGAUAUAGAUUUAAUUUGAUCAAGCCUAAUUGGAUUAUGGGAUAAUCAAAUUGCAUGAGAGAAUAAUUUUUUGUUUGAUUAGGAUUUGGAUUUGAUUUAAUUUUUAAUUAGAUUAGGAUCUAACUAAGAGAGUUUGGGUUUCUAUUUAGACUAAAAUUUUUUUUUUCAUAGGAGUACUAAAUCCUAAUUAGAUUAGGAUUAAAUUGAGUUUGACUCAAGCACCAAGAGAGAGUCCAAAAGGAUUAGGACUCCUUCUCUAAUUAGGCGACUUCUAAUUUUUAAUUAGAUUAGAUUUUAAUUUAAAUAGUUUGGACUCCUAAUCAGAUUAGAAUUUUAAUCUAUUUAGAUCUAGUCAAUUUUUAAUAUGAUUAGAAUUGGUUAGAGUUUGAUUGAGUUUAAAUCAGCCACCUAAAGAGGAGUCCUAAGUAGUUAGGACUCUCCCUUUUCCAUGCGCCAUAAGGAAGCCCCAUGCCUAUCAGAUUUUGGAUGCCACAUCCCACUCUUUUUGCAUGAAGUUUUUAGCAUGAAAGGAGUUCACGCUAUCUCCUUUUUUCCAUGUGAUAUGGGGCACAAAUAAGAAAGGUUGGCGACAUAAAAAAAUUAAGAGUUCAAGGGAGUUUGGACUCUCACCUAAACCCUAUCUCUUCUCCUAUUUAAAUGCGGGAUCAUAUGGGCGGUCACAACCUGAUGAGAUCAAUUUGAGAUGCCAAAAAUCAGAGGAAGGUGUGAGUGGAAAAAUCCUAGGGAGAGGGUGCGGCAUGUAGGUGCAUGGCGUGAGGUAAGAUAGCAUCUAUCCCUUCUUUCUUACCAACAACCAAAGGUUGGUUGUUGGGGCCUCUUCUCUCUCUCUUUUGUCCUAGUUUAGACAUGGAUUUUUCUCUCCUUUUUGUCCAAAAGUUGGAUAAAAAUUCUUACAUCUCUAGCGUAGAGAUUUAGUACAUGGAUUUUAGGAAGAAAAGAGAAGAAAGUAUUCUUCUCAUGAUCUCUAGCGCAGAGAUUAUCAUCCUUCUAUUUUUUUCUUCUUCUCUAAGAUUGUCUUGAGAGAAAAGAAGAGUUUUUAACCGUCAAGAUUCGAUAUCUGUAAGAAAGUUAGCAUCCCGAUGAGAUCAAAAAGUUUUUGAUUAGAUUGAAGCCUCGUGUGGAUAUCCAUAGAGGUCGGACACUUGUGCGAUUUCAAAAGACCUUCUAAAGACAUCCAUGAUCAUCAGUUUGUGAUAU
rnacentral:lncRNA from 1 species